GAUGAACGCUGGCGGCGUGCUUAACACAUGCAAGUCGAACGAGAAGUGAAGACGGAAACCUUCGGGCGGAAGGCUUUAUUUCGAGUGGCGGGCGGGUGAGUAACGCGUGGGUAACCUGCCUCAUACAGGGGGAUAACAGUUGGAAACGACUGUUAAUACCGCAUAAGACCACAGCACCGCAUGGUGCGGGGGUAAAAACUCCGGUGGUAUGAGAUGGACCCGCGUUCGAUUAGCCAGUUGGCGGGGUAACGGCCCACCAAAGCGACGAUCGAUAGCCGAUCUGAGAGGAUGACCGGCCACAUUGGGACUGAGACACGGCCCAAACUCCUACGGGAGGCAGCAGUGGGGAAUAUUGCACAAUGGGGGAAACCCUGAUGCAGCGACGCCGCGUGAGUGAAGAAGUAUUUCGGUAUGUAAAGCUCUAUCAGCAGGGAAGAAAAUGACGGUACCUGAGUAAGAAGCCCCGGCUAACUACGUG
rnacentral:rRNA from 1 species